rnacentral:rRNA from 1 species
UUUUAUGGAGAGUUUGAUCCUGGCUCAGGAUGAACGCUGGCGGCGUGCCUAAUACAUGCAAGUCGAGCGAACGGACG